UACGUAGGGUGCGAGCGUUGUCCGGAAUUAUUGGGCGUAAAGGGCUCGUAGGCGGUUUGUCGCGUCGGGAGUGAAAAUCCAGGGCUUAACUCUGGACUGGCUUCCGAUACGGGCAGACUAGAGGUAUGCAGGGGAGAACGGAAUUCCUGGUGUAGCGGUGAAAUGCGUAGAUAUCUGGAGGAACACCGGUGGCGAAGGCGGCAUCCUGGACCGAGAUUGACGCUGAGGCGCGAAAGCCAGGGGAGCAAACGGG
rnacentral:rRNA from 1 species